UACAGAGGUCUCAAGCGUUGUUCGGAUUCAUUGGGCGUAAAGGGUGCGUAGGCGGCGCCGCAAGUCGCGUGUGAAAGCCCCGGGCUCAACCUGGGAGGUGCGCUCGAGACUGUGGUGCUGGAGUUCGGAAGAGGAGCGUGGAAUUCCCAGUGUAGAGGUGAAAUUCGUAGAUAUUGGGAAGAACACCGGUGGCGAAGGCGGCGCUCUGGACCGAGACUGACGCUGAGGCGCGAAGGCGUGGGGAGCAAACAGG
rnacentral:rRNA from 1 species